rnacentral:piRNA from 1 species
AACCGGUUUGUUAUCGCUAGAAAUGGUC